UACGGAGGGUGCAAGCGUUAAUCGGAAUUACUGGGCGUAAAGCGCACGCAGGCGGUUUGUUAAGUCAGAUGUGAAAUCCCCGAGCUUAACUUGGGAACUGCAUUUGAAACUGGCAAGCUAGAGUCUUGUAGAGGGGGGUAGAAUUCCAGGUGUAGCGGUGAAAUGCGUAGAGAUCUGGAGGAAUACCGGUGGCGAAGGCGGCCCCCUGGACUGGUCCUGACACUCAUGAGCGAAAGCGUGGGGAGCGAUCCGG
rnacentral:rRNA from 1 species